GACGAACGCUGGCGGCGUGCUUAACACAUGCAAGUCGUACGGUAAGGCCCUUUCGGGGGUACCCUAGUGGCGAACGGGUGAGUAACACUUGAGUAACCUGCCCACAACUUUGUGAUAACGCUAGGAAACUGGUGCUAAUACUGGAUAUGUGCUCCUGCUGCAUGGUGGGGGUUGGAAAGCUCCGGGGGUUUUGGAUUGACUCGCGGCCUAUCAGCUUGUUGGUGGGGUAGUGGCCUACCAAGGCGGCGACGGGUCGCCGGCCUGGGAGGGUGACCGGCCACAUUGGAACUGAGAGAAGGCCCAGACGCCUACGGGAGGAAGAAGUGGGGAAUCCUGAACAAGGGGCGCCAGCCUGAUGCAGAAACGCCGCGUGCGGGAUGACGGCCUUGGGGUUGUAAAACGCUUUCAGCAGGGACGAAGCUUUUUGUGACGGUACCUGCAGAAGAAGCACCGGCUAACUACGUG
rnacentral:rRNA from 1 species